rnacentral:lncRNA from 1 species
CUUAUCUGUUUUCAUGGAACACUUGCUUGAACCCUGCUAAAGACACACAAUCAUACUGAUGGACAACUGUAGUGUUUGAAAUGAGAGGUAUCCUCCAUAGGCUAUGUAUUUGAACACUUGUUUCCCAGUUGGUUAUGUUUAGAGAGGCUAUGAAUCUGUUAGGAGGUGUGACUCUGUUAAAGGAUGCCACACAGGGUGGUCAAUGAGAAUUUAGAGCCUUACCAAACUUCCAGUUCACUCUUCUGCUUCCCACAUGUGAAUGGAGAGUGACAUCUCAGCUUGCUGUUCUGGACACCUGCUGCCAUGCCUCCUGUAACUGGUUGAUCUGAUGCUGUUUGUAAUCCUCAAGAUGACCUUGAACUCGGAGAUUUAAUCUGGAGUCCAUAGCCACUAUGCCUCAAGAUCUCCAUACCAAGAUCCAGAUCAGAAACUUCUAUCUCCCAGCCCCCAGAUAAGGGUCACUGGUACACAGAGUCACAUCCAGCUUUUCUGGGACCCAAACUCAAGACCUCAUAAUGAGCAUCACAGAAGGCCCAUUCAGCCCAAGCUAUACAGUGG